CCUAGGGUGGCAGCAGUGGGGAAUAUUGCACAAUGGGGGAAACCCUGAUGCAGCAACGCCGCGUGAGUGAAGAAGUAUUUCGGUAUGUAAAGCUCUAUCAGCAGGGAAGACAAAAGACGGUACCUGACUAAGAAGCCCCGGCUAACUACGUGCCAGCAGCCUUGGUAAUACGUAGGGGGCAAGCGUUAUCCGGAUUUACUGGGGGUAAAGGGAGCGUAGACGGCAUAGCAAGGCUGAAGUGAAAGCCCGUGGCUCAACCGCGGAACUGCUGUGGAAACUGUUACGCUGGAGUACUGGAGAGGCAAGCGGAAUGCCUAGUGUAGCGGUGAAAUGCGUAGAUAUUAGGAGGAACACCAGUGGCGAAGGCGGCUUGCUGGACAGAGACUGACGUUGAGGCUCGAAAGCGUGGGGAGCAAACAGGAUUAGAUACCCUUGUAGUC
rnacentral:rRNA from 1 species